GAUGAACGCUGGCGGCGUGCCUAAUACAUGCAAGUCGAGCGAACGGACGAUAAGCUUGCUUCUCUGAUGUUAGCGGCGGACGGGUGAGUAACACGUGGAUACCCUCCCUAUAAGACUGGGAUAACUUCGGGAAACCGGAGCUAAUACCGGAUAAUCUUUUGCACCGUAUGGUUCAAAAGUGAAAGACGGUCUUGCUGUAACUUCUCGAGGGAUCCGCGCUGCAUUAGCUAGUUGGUAAGGUAACCGCUUACCAAGGCAACGAUGCAUAGCCGACCUGAUAGAGUGAUCGGCGGCACUGGAACGUGACCACGGACCAGACUCCUACGGGAGGCCGCAGAAGGGAAUGUGAGGCAAUGGGCGAAAGCCUGGCGGAGUGACGGCGCGUGAGUGAUGAAGGUCUCCGGAUCGUAAAACUCUGUUAUGAGGGAAGAACAUAUUUGUAAGGAGCUGUGCACAUCGUGACGGUACCUAAUCAGAAAGCCACGGCUAACUACGUG
rnacentral:rRNA from 1 species